AUACAUGCAAGUUCGAGCGAACAGACGAGGAGCUUGCUCCUUUGACGUUAGCGGCGGACGGGUGAGUAACACGUAGGUAACCUACCUAUAAGACUGGGAUAACUUCGGGAAACCGGAGCUAAUACCGGAUAAUAUUUCGAACCGCAUGGUUCGAUAGUGAAAGAUGGCUUUGCUAUCACUUAUAGAUGGACCUGCGCCGUAUUAGCUAGUUGGUAAGGUAACGGCUUACCAAGGCAACGAUACGUAGCCGACCUGAGAGGGUGAUCGGCCACACUGGAACUGAGACACGGUCCAGACUCCUACGGGAGGCAGCAGUAGGGAAUCUUCCGCAAUGGGCGAAAGCCUGACGGAGCAACGCCGCGUGAGUGAUGAAGGUCUUCGGAUCGUAAAACUCUGUUAUUAGGGAAGAACAAACGUGUAAGUAACUGUGCACGUCUUGACGGUACCUAAUCAGAAAGCCACGGCUAACUACGUGC
rnacentral:rRNA from 1 species